rnacentral:rRNA from 1 species
UACGUAGGGUGCGAGCGUUGUCCGGAAUUAUUGGGGCGUAAAGAGCUUGUAGGCGGUUUGUCGCGUCUGCUGUGAAAAUCCGGGGCUCAACCCCGGACUUGCAGUGGGUACGGGCAGACUAGAGUGUGGUAGGGGAGACUGGAAUUCCUGGUGUAGCGGUGAAAUGCGCAGAUAUCAGGAGGAACACCGGUGGCGAAGGCGGGUCUCUGGGCCGAUAUGACGCUGAGGAGCGAAAGCGUGGGGAGCGAACAGG